UGGGGGAUAUUAGGCAAUGGGGGCAACCCUGACCUAGCGACGCCGCGUGAGGGAAGAAGGUUUUCGGAUUGUAAACCUCUGUCUUCGGGGAAGAUAAUGACGGUACCCGAGGAGGAAGCCACGGCUAACUACGUGCCAGCAGCCGCGGUAAUACGUAGGUGGCAAGCGUUAUCCGGAUUUAUUGGGUGUAAAGGGUGCGUAGGCGGGAAAAUAAGUUGAAUGUGAAAUACCGAGGCUCAACCUCGGGGCUGCGUUCAAAACUGUUUUUCUUGAGUGCAGUAGAGGCAAGUGGAAUUCCCAGUGUAGCGGUAAUAUGCGUAGAUAUUGGGAGGAACACCAGUGGCGAAGGCGACUUGCUGGGCUGUAACUGACGCUGAGGCACGAAAGUGUGGGGAGCAAACA
rnacentral:rRNA from 1 species